UAGUACAACCGAGGCGCUCGGGCUGUCGCCGUCCUCAAGGACGAGCACGCCUGGAGUGCUCUCUCACGUCCAUCUCACCCCUUUGUGCAUCACCGCGUGGGGCCCUUCUCUCUUUUGGCUUGUUCCGGAGAGGGGAAGGGGGUUCACGUUUUUACAAGAACGACCCAUUAAUGCAUGUGUAGAAUGUGUUCCAUUUUGCGGUCAAACGCAAUCAAUA
rnacentral:misc_RNA from 1 species